rnacentral:rRNA from 1 species
GUGGAUUAGAUACCCGAGUAGUCCACGCAGUAAACGAUGAUAGCUCGUUGUCGGCGAUACACAGUCGGUGACUUAGAGAAAUCGAUAAGCUAUCCACCUGGGGAGUACGUUCGCAAGAAUGAAACUCAAAGGAAUUGACGGGGGCCCGCACAAGCGGAGGAACAUGUGGUUUAAUUCGAUGAUACGCGAGGAACCUUACCCGGGCUUGAAAGUUAUUGACUAUACUGGAAACAGUAUAUCCCUUCGGGGCAAGAAACUAGGUGCUGCACGGUCGUCGCCAGCU